AUUUUAAACUUAUAGUACAAACAGUAAUAUGCAACAAAUACAUAGUGAAUGACAGUUGCAUAUAGAAUAUGAAACUUGGAAAACCUGGAUAGGUUACCUAUCCAGGAUGACGUUUCCAAGAGAAAUUCAGUAGAGAAUAUGUAUUAUUCACAAAUUGUGAAUAACAAGACAAUAACAGAAUUCAGUUUAUAUAGAAACUUGGACGAGAGUGAUCAUCCAAGUAAGUAUUCUCAAUAUAAAUCCUAUUGAGAAAAGUAAUGAUCACAUCAACAAAUGUGAAUAAAUGUUUAUAAAAAGGGACAUUUUACAUGUUCAAGGAUAAACGACUAAAACUAAUAAUUGUUAACUAACAAUUAAAUAAAGUUUUACCAAAUGAAAUCAUAAAUAUGGAAAUAAUUUGAGGAGUUACUUACAUGGGACAUGAUGUGGUAAUUAUAAUAAGGUCACGCGUACCAUGUGUUGAUCGCUUACUCUGGCCAAGUAAGUAGUGAACACAUGAUAGCAUGAGCUUCUUAUAAUGAGCGCAGUUAUGUCCGAUGUAGUAAGGUCAAGAUGAAUGAAAAUUUAAAGGAUCCUUAGGGUCAAGAAAUCUUAUGGGCAUACUCGUAUAAAUGGUUUUCGCGGGAACCAUAAAAACGACGUAUGGCGCACAUAGAAAUAAACGACCCAAGGAAAUUCGUGACAUAAGUCAUUUCGGACGAAACAACCAUGGUAGACAAAAAGGGCAUUGUAAAACCAAAGUAUAAAUGACCCGCGGGGUCAUAGAAACAAAGGUUUUGCCCACAUGGGAAAAACGAUCAAAAACCAUGGUAGACAAAAAGGGCAUUGUAAAACCAAAGUAUAAAUGACCCGCGGGGUCAUAGAAACAAAGGUAUUGCCCACAUGGAAAAACGAUCAAAGUCGUUGACUUUGGCCGUAGUAAAGAAAUGAUGAUGAUGAUGAUAAUCAUCAUUCAUAGUUUAUAAGACUGUCAAGGAUGGUCGAAUAAAGAAUAAAGGUUUGGUUGAAUAAAAGCGAUGGAUUUCGCUAAGACAACCAAACAAAUUAAAACGAAAUCUUAAUGUAUACCGGAAUGCUUGCACUAAUAAUGACUUCGGUAAAGUAUCCGGUUGAUGGGUAAGGAUUUAAACACAUGCGUAAACCGAGAAACGGGAACACGAAUUUAAAGUCAAAAGACUCGGAUUAUGAGUUAUGACUGAAAGACCAUAAAAUUUCGCAAACAGAAAUUUUGAUAAUUAUAUUCAAAUAUUCGAAGUCGAAUGGGUUGAAUAAAGAAUAAAGUUGAUUGUUUAUAAGUGAUGGAUUUCACAUUAAUAAGUCAAACAGGUUGAAUACAAUAUAACGCCGAAUGGCACAAAUGAGCGCUAGCCAGAUAAGGGUAGCGUUAAAUGCAAGAGAAUAAUGAGCCCGGUAAUGGGAUAUAACCAAAUAAGAAUAAAUUAUGGACUGUCAAUAUCCUGGUAGGGAUAAUUGACAAAAGUUAAAGAGAAGAUCCUAAAACUAAAACUUCGGUUUUAGUAAGAAAUAAUGUUUUUACAAACAUAGACUCUGAUAGGAAUUUAAAUAAUAAGUAUGAAAGAUACAAAUCUUGACACUGAUAGGUGCAAGACAAUAUAUUCGAAAAGUGAUAUUUUCGAAGAUGAAAAGGUUAAUAUAAAUUAAACAUGAUGUGACAUGAUCACGGUCAAGAGGUACAAUGUGAAGAAGAAUCACAUUAUAACCAAGCGAGCGGUAAAAAGAAACCGGACUAAUAAGUCUAGUUAGUGAAACCGGUUAAGGUCAAUAAUUCAAGUUAAGAAAUUUGGUUUGCUUGUAAGUGGUAAAUUCGGUAUAACUGAACCGAAUAAAUAAAUUUGAAAAUAAAAAGAUUUGUUGCUAAAAGUGAAAGAUUUCACUAAGGACCUUUAAACGGGUCAAAGUAACGGGUUCAUAAAGAAAUCCGAUAGUAUAUGAAAGCAUUGAAUAUCGCUAAGUUGAUUAAACUAGUGGAAAUAACGAGAUUACGUUAUUUCAAGUCGCAUCAUGUCAUAUAAGAUACGUAGAUGAUUAAUAACCAAAAGGAUAUUACCAUACUUUUCUGGUAAUACUAACAAUCGGUUAAAAUAUGAGAAAUGCUUAAUUGAUUAUCGAGAGCAAAUGCAUGGAGUGGAACUCGAUAAAUUAAGUAAGAAAAGGUUUCGGGGACGAAACCUCUUUAAGGGGGGUAGACUUGUAACACCCCGAAAACGAGUUUGGUAAUUAAACCCCGUUAAUACUAAAGACGGGGAAAGUACCGUUAGUGGUAAAAGUAAACUGUCAAAUAUUAGGAAUUUAUUUAAUAAUCCUAAUAUUUAUUUGAAGUGAAUAAAAAGCUUUUAAGAAAUAAAGUGAUAGAAGGCCCGAGUUAACGGGACCCGAAAUAAACUUAGUCAUAAAUAUUCUCGAACCCGCAAAGUUAACUAGGAAUAUUAAACCUAGUUAAUAAGUGGGGAAUAUUGUUAGAAAUAAGUAGGUUGUUCCCUACUUAAUUAACUAACCAAAUUAGAGGGGCCAAUAUUGUUAAAAUUGAAACUUAACUUUAAUUAAUUAAAUAAAACACACCAAACACCCCACAAGGAGGUGUCUGGUCGUACAAGAAGAACAGGGGGGCGAUCCCCACACAUCAAAACCCUAAGUCUUCACCAAACUUGCAAAUUGAAGGCUCAAUCCAAGUCAAAAUCGAAAAUCAAGCAUAGAUUAUUGAUCCCCAUUGAAAGGGGAGUCAUAAGUUUGACUCUGACAAGCUAGGUAGGAGCUUGGAAAUGAACGGGUCAAAUGGAUACAAGUUCAAGUAUGAAGCUCGCAAGGAUGCAAGGUAAGUAUAACUUACACUAGUCAUAUAUUUUAAAAUGUUCUUUUGUCAUAUUGACUACGAAUAAGACAAAUGGUAAUUUAGUCACACGUUGACAAUAAUCGUUAGUUUUAAAAGACGCUUUCCCGCGAAAGACAUAAAGAGCCGAAAGUGGUAAUAAACGGUUUAUAAAUAAAAUGAGCAUACGGUGUUAAAAGGAGCGAGUCAUGUAGAUGAGAUGAUAAUAAAUAUUAUCUCGCAAAGAUAAACGGUCAAUUCGGCCAAACGGGUCAAAAGGUGUAGACAUCACCUUUUGACAAUAUCGACUAAUGAUUCUGGUGUCGAGUUAUAUGUUUACAGGAGUAGAUAUCCAAUGGAUACUCGCAUCGCUCUUAAUUAGCAAUUAUAAAGCAAGGUAUUAAACCGGGUUAGUAAGUUGAUCCGAGCCAGGUAUGUAUAAUAGAUUAACUCAUCAUGUAGAACUUGAAGUUCUAUGAAAGUUAGGCAAAAUAAAAAAAAGGCAUUCGGUUACCUUAAUAGGUAAACCGAAGGAUUUAAAUUAUUUAGACAGAAUGUUUUGAAAACAAGAUUUGGUUAAAAAUGAGAAAUUAGAAUCAAACAACAGGUUUGUUUGAUAAAAUCACGAACGGGUCAAAUUUGGUAAAAAGGGUUAAUAAGCCGAAGACUUAAAAGUCUUAAAAUUUUGUUAAUCCAGAUGUUGGGUCUUGACUCCAUUUGAUGGAGGUUCAAUUUACAAUCACGUAGGAAGAAACGGUAGGUCAAACAGACGAGCGGUUUGAAAGAUACGAAAGUUUUCGUGUCAAAAACGGCAAAAAGGAAAGGAAUGAUGCAGGGGCCACCGUAACUUACGGUGCCACCGUAAGUUACGGUGGACAUGAUUUGGUUACGGUAAAUGCCUACUGUUGUACGGUUGAAUAAUUGAAACACAGAGACCACCGUAACUUACGGUGCCACCGUAAGUUACGGUGGAGGUCAGAAAUGAGUUUUUAUUUUGGGUUUAAGAUAUCCAUGUGGGAUUUUCCUAAUUUCCCCAUUGUAUUAGUUUAAUUAAUUAUCAAAACUGACCUUUAAGUUGGUUUUGAUCACAGGUGAAUGUCGAGGGUCCCGGAUGAAGAUCGAGCAUCGAGCAAGAACCGAACACACAUUAAAUAAAGCUUCCGCAACGUUGUUUUGUCGUUAUUCUAAACGGUGAUUUAAAUCACAUUAUGUAUAUCACUUAAAUUGUAAAAGUUUUUAAUAAACCCGCAUUUUGUACAGUA